rnacentral:rRNA from 1 species
GUCGUAACAAGGUUUCCGUAGGUGAACCUGCGGAAGGAUCAUUACCGAAUAUAGACCGUCGUGAAAACCACUGUGAAUGGUAUCAGACCGUGCGGGGUGGCCAAUGAAAGUCAGAGGUAGCCCUAAGUGCAGUCUCAGCGAUGAGCUGCGGCCCCGCACGUGUCGCACUGUGCUUUGAGAUUUCUUACGGACUGAUGUUGUGUAUGAUUUCGUUGAGGGCAAGCAAAGCGAAAGAUGGUAUUCACGUUAGCGAGCGAGUACGAAAGAUGGUACCGAAUAAGUACGAACAACUUCUAACGGUGGAUCUCUUGGCUCGUGCAUCGAUGACGAACGUAGCCAGUUGCGAUAAGUAAUGUGAAUUGCAGAAUUCAGUGAAUCAUCGAAUCUUUGAACGCAAAUUGCGCUCUCUGGAUCCCCAGGGAGCAUGUCUGUCUGAGUGUCGCGAACGAAAAAAACUGACACACUUCGGUGUGUGAGAAAGUGGGCGCUCGGGUUAGGGGCUCAGGCUUCAGACCCGUCGUCCGAAGUGCGUGUAGACCGGAUACGCAGUCUUGAAACGUCUGUUCCCGUCUGGAAGGCUCUGAAGUUGUGUGUGUUUUACUUGAACGGAGUUUUGUAACAGAAUUCGGUUAAAGCUGGGGCGGCAUCAUGUGACCUUCUCAGACACGUCGGGGAACAAUGUGCGGGCUUGUCGAUAACUUGUGUAUGAACGUGUGUGAGGCUUGUUGCGAGUUUUGACCUCAGAUCAGGCAAGACUACCCGCUGAAUUUAAGCAUA